CUAUUUUAUCCUCUCCUGACAAAAUUGCAAUAAAGUCACCUCCUGCAAAUUAUGGCAACUCCAUAUCAUUUGCUAAAUAAUGCAGGUUAUCCCAUAGCUUUAACCUUUCCAUUGCAUCACACUUGUCAUAGACUAAAGUGUCCAUCAUACUCUUACCAAAAUCAUAAAGAAAAAACUCCUAGGUAACUUAUUGUUCUGUGUCCAUAAGAGUCUCAAUGUCAUCAAUAAAGACCUGUAUCUUCCCAUUGCAGUUAGAUAUAGCCAACUUCAUGCCUAGUCUCCUCUUGUUGAAUAUGUAUAUCCUUAUGAAAAUAUACACUAUAAAAAUAAGUUUGUGUUGCAUCAAAGAUAAUAUAGAAAGAUAUCAUAUCCAUAAGGAUUAAUUAAAACAAUGUUUAACUAAUUCCUGCCUUAGCACUAUUCAAGAGAAAUAAUUAUUUAUAUUGAUGCGGUUAUGAGCCAUGAGUAACCGGGUAAAAUUGUACACAAAUAAAACGAUUACAUGAAAGAUGAGAAUUGAGAAACAACGAUUAAUUAUUAAUGAGAGAAAAUAGAGCUAUUGACAUGGUCGGUGCAAUAUUGUUGUCUAAGAUCUAACUUUGUUCAAUAUUCACCUUUGAGGUUUUAUUGAUUCUCACAAAUUCAAUAAUUUAUUAGAUAGUUCUUGAAAUUAAGAUUUUUCUCUCGAAUGAACUUAAUCUCUAUGAAAUAAACCAAUAUGAAGCGUUGUGUACAUAUGCAAGAAAAUAUUGAUUCAGAUGGUUUCAAGAGAAACUCCUCUCGAAUAUUUUUUUAUUUUAUUUCAAUUAAUAAUUCAAAAGGCUCUUGCGCUUACUUGAAGGAUCACUAAUUGAAACUAAACAAUAUAAUGUAAGAUAUUUAUCAAACUAUCCUCUUUCCAUCAAACAAAAUAAUGAAUAAUUUUCCAACCUAAUUCAAACUCCAUCAAUCAAUUCAAACAAAUAAACAAGAUUUAAAUCUAUAAAUAAUGCUUAAAACACCAUGUCUGUCAAAACCAUAGUGAAAAACUAUUCCAUAGGUGAAAAGAAAUACAUAGUUUUAAAUGAAUUAAAUCUAGAAAAUAUUACAACCAAUUAAGUAUUUAAUUAAUUGUUGAGUUAAAACUCAAUAAGUAUUCAGGCCUUAGUCUCUCUCCCAAUCUUUCGUAGGUCAAAGUCCUUUCAAAAAUAUAUUUUUCAUGUAUCUAUACUAGGUACAAAUGAUCUGGGACCAAACUAUCCUUAAUGAGGCGAAGCAAGAAUUUUAGGAUAAAAAAUAACUUGUUGUGUUGCCCCACUUAUCGCGAUAAGAGACUAUAUUAGCUGCCUUAUCAAAUUGCAUUCUGAUGCCUAUUUGUUAGGCCCCGUAAAAUUUUGCAAUGAUUUAAGACUCUAAAGCGCGCUCAUGAGUUCCUUAACUACUGUUUUGCCUCCCACAAGAGACUAUGGAAUAGAAACAACUUAGAUUUGUCAUGAUAAUAAAUGUGAUAGGCCUAUUUAAUGUGAUUUAUGUCUAAAGAAAGCCCUAGAACAAAGCUAAGUUGGAAGCUAGAUGACAAACUAAUGUUUCGAGAGCUUACAUAUUAUCCAAUUUCAAACGAGCAAAACUACCAAAGUGUAAAGAUUAAUAGGCUGAUCUACCUACAAAUGAAAGCUCCUUGAGUAUGGUUUCUGACGCUUCAAACCGUGCAACUCUUAGAUAUUCCUACUAGAAGUUAUGAUAUUUUUACUGAAGGUUGUCUGACAGAAAAAUCCAGCGCUCAGGCCAGCGCGUGGCGCCUCCUGUGGCACCCAAACCAGAAGCCAUUUUUGGACCAACGCCCAAGCCAGCGCUUGGUGCCUCCCCCGGCGCCCAACCGGACUUUAAGAAAGUUCAUAUCAAUAGUAUUUUUCCCCUAUUUCACUUCGCCCAUUUUUGGAGCUUUUCUCCCCUCACUCAGGACCCUCAACUCCUCCUAUCUUCAAGAUGAGUAAUACCCACUAGUUUGGUAUUUUAUCCCAUCAAUUUCAUAGUAAAACUAACUCAAACCACCAUGAAAUCAUUAGAUUUUCAAGGAAUCUUUCCAAGAGCUCACGUGAGGACUUUGCAAGAUUUACCCCCAAAAGGUAAUUCCAUCUCAUUGGACUUGCAUGCAUGGCUUAAUAAUGAACAUAUGAGUAGGAAUUUGGAGGUAGAACUUAUGAGAUGGUGAUUGGAAGACAUAAGUUAACGAAUUGGAAAUUUUGAGAAUUUGUAGAGAAUGAGAAGUGUUUGCUUGAUGUAUUUGUUAGUUGGGAGUGAAUUGUAAGAUAUGAAUACGUUGUUGGAGGUCCUAAACUAUCUAUGGUUGGUUGUAGUAUGAAUUGGUGGGGCAAAGAGUGAGUAUUGAAUGAAGAAAUAUCAUUCAUGAAGGUGGUAGAGAAAUGUGCACACUAGAUGCUUGACAUAAUGCCUAAGUGAGCAAUAUGUAAAACAUCCUUACUAAUAUUGGUACAAUUGUGUUGCAUUAUUAUAGAUUGAAGUUAUAUAGUGUGGUGGACCAUCAUAGUAUUGUUAAGGUACAAAUUUGAGGUAUGUUGGCUAAACCCCCUCCGUAUAAUUAGAUUCCAUGAUCUCCUUAUGAAUUCCAAGUAUGGUUUGUCCAACUUCCUAUCCUUAUUGAGUUAAAUUGCCACAAACGAUUGAUGUAUCAAAUGCUUAUUUACCCAAGUCAUGUCUCAAUUGACCUCAUGAUGUCAUGCUCUCCCUUGGGAAAUAAUUCAAGUAUGAUUGAUUUAUCAACCACUUAUGAACUCAAUCCAUCAUUCCAUUGAAAUCACUAUGCUCUCCUUUUCUAAUUUGUUCCAAUGUGUUUUGAGCUCUUAUGAACUUAUGAGUUGAAGCUAUGAUUUUUCCAAUGUCUUAAUUCUCUUUAACGUUUGAUGAUGAUCCGUAACAAGUAAAAGAAUGAAAGUAUGAAAUAUGAAAUGCAUCCAUCGUACCAAGAAUGAAAAUUAUCAUGUAUGGCCAAGAGUGACAAUGAAAUGAAAGAUUUUUUGGAAGCUAUGAGAUGAACAUAUUUCUUUUAUAUAGAAAUAUUUUUGGGAGGAUCGUCAGGUCACCGAGGAAGGGUGGGUUGUAAAGGCCUAAUCCCGAAGCUACCCGUGCCGGUGUAGGGAUUGAUUGAGCUACAAAUCCCUUUAAUAUUAUGUUGAGAUUAUUCCCCUUGAUUGGGAUAAAUUGAUAGCUAACAAAUACCAUAUCAAUCCACAUGUCAUUGUGGUGAGAUGGCUUAGCUGAUCAGGCAGAGAUCGGACACCAUGCCGUGCACAUGGUGGUUUUGUAUUUCUAUGUCAACACAUACAUUAGGGUGGGACGACCUAGCCGAUUGGGGCGAGAUGGGACUCCAUGCCACGUGCAUGGUGGUGUGUCCGUAACUAAUUAUCUCCCAACCGAAAACGUUAAUGCUUGUUUGAAAAUUUAUUAUGUUUUAACUUGGUACCUAAAUAUUAUUUGAUAUUCUUACUGCUUCAAUGUUUCACUCUGCUUAUGUUGGAAUUCCAUUCCAUGUGAGGGUACUUAGAUUUACAUACUAGUAAUAUUCCAGAUGUACUAACGUCCCUUUUGUCGGGGGCGCUGCAUCUUCAAUGGAUGCAGGUGGUUCCUUAGCAGGUGGCACAGUUCUUAAUAGGCGUACCCUCCUCUCAGCUGACUCGGUGAGCUCUACUCCGUAUCGGGGCCUUAUGUCAUUUUGAUUCCUGUACAUUGUAUUUUGAAGUAUAGCUGCCUUGAUACCGACACUUUCAUAUUGCACUCAUGUUCAAUUAGAUGCUCCAUAGAUGUACUGUGGGUUAUGUUUUAAAAAGGGGGAAAAACAAACUAAAAAAUGUUGUAGUUGUCGGAUGUUUCCACUUUUAAACUAUGAACUUGUAAUGUUUUGGUAAUUGUAAAUGAAGCUCCUAUAAGUAAUGAUAAUUGGUAAUGUACAUUUUAUCCUCUCGCUGUCUAUCUAUUGUCAUUUAUUCUUAAAUUAUUCAUGGUGAAGGUUGGAUAGUAGGCACUAAGUAGGCUUGCCCGACUGGGGUAACUCAGUUGAGCGCCGGGUUCGCUCCCCAAGGCUGGGGCGUGACAAGCUUAGUAUCAUAGCCUAAGGUUUUAAAGUCCUAGGAUGUCUCAGAGCCAUGUCAAUUAGAGUCCUUAUUAUUAGUGUGAAGUCGACCACAUCUAUAAUUAGGAGUCUAGUUGGGCCUUUAGGAAUGUCACCCUUCUUUGAUACUUUAGAUCGUGUGAUAGAGCUUGAUUAAAAGACUGACCUUUUUUAACUCGUGCGUUGUUCUAAUGUUUUUCAGUACAUGGUGCCUAAGAAGAAGGCGAAGAGUGGCCAAAGGGCCAAUGCCACACCAAGAGUGGUAGAAAAUACAAUACCAGAUGUUGCGGGUGAGCACCCACGGGGUGAAUACAUUCCCCCAACUACAAUACCUCAUGUUUCUACUACACCUGUUGAAAAUGUACAGAUUCCUCCUCCAACUGAUACUCCAGUUCCACCUCCAGCCUCAAGCUCCGGUCUUAGUGUUUCUGAUGGGGACCUUAGGGGAGCCAUCCAAUUGUUGACUUAGAUAGUGGCUUCCUAGGCCUAGAGAUUGAAUGCCACAUCUACUUCCUCUAGCCACCAAGGGGAUUCAACUAGUUCCAGGGUGAACAGAUUCCUUCAGUUGGAUCCUCGGUGUUCACGGGUACUAAGUCCGAGGAGGACCCGUAGGAAUUUAUUGAUGAGAUGCACAAGACUCUUUAUGUGAUGCAUGACACUGAGACAGAAAUAGUGGAAUUGGCCUCCUAUCACUUGAAAGACGGGGCGUAUUCAUGGUUUGAAUUGUGGGAGAAGUUCCGCGAGGAGGGUAGCCCUCCGGCAGAGCGGAACGAGUUUGCGGGUGCUUUUAUGGAUCAUUUCUUGACUGCCGAGACUAGGGCAUCCCGUGCCACCGAAUUUGAGUACUUGAAGCAAGGUAGUAUGAGUGUGUGGGACUACCAUCUGAAAUUUGUGGAUCUUUCCAAGUAUGCUGUUUACAUGUUGCCCAAUAUGAAGGCUAGGGUGCGCCAGUUUGUGCAAGGCCUGAGGCCUCUAUAGCCACCUUGAAUUCUGAUAUGAACUAUGAGAAGAUGGUGGCAUUUUCUCAAGCCAUAAAGACCCGAAAAUUGAAUAACAAAAUGGAGCGAGAUGGUAACAAGAAGGUCCGUUCCGCGAGCAAAUUUGGUGGUUCUUUCAGUGGUGGUAGUGGUGGAAAGGCAAUUUUCAAGGGAGGGUCAUCUGAACCAUUAUAGUCUUUUGCUCAGUCUUCAUCCAGUGCACUGCCAUUAGUGCCUAGUCAGCUCAGUGGAGUCGUUUAUGGCCUAGUCAGGGCAAUAGGGGGUCUUACCAGUAGGUUCAGUCACGCUAGAGAUUCCAACCGCGGCAGAGAACCUCAUGCCCUAGAUGAGGGAAGAUGAACUCGGGAGUCUACUGCAUGAACCUUCCCAUAUGCUAUGGGUGUGGUCUUAGCGGUCAUAUUCAGAGAGGUUGCCCUUCGUCCAGUCAGAAUGCUGGUACAGGUGUGGUACAACCGGCUACUUCAGCAGCUACUACUUCUGCAGCACCUCCUCUGACUCGAGUUACUCCGGGAGGACCCAAUAGGUUAUAUGCUAUGAGGGGCCGCUAGAGUUCUGAGGCUUCUCCAGAUGUCGUCAUAGGUAUACUGACUGUCCAAUCUCAUGAUAUGUAUGCUCUUAUAGAUCCUGGUUCCACAUUAUUGUAUGUCACUCGUUAUGUUGCUAUGGAAUUCGGGAUAGUACCAGAACAUCUUUGUAAGCCAUUCUUUGUAUCUACUCCAAUUGGCGACUCUAUUGUGGCCAUAGAGGUUUAUAGUGAUUGUAUUGUCACUAUGCAUGGGUGAGGCACCACAUCCGAUCUCAUUGAUUUGGGGAUGGUGGAGUUUGAUGUGAUAAUGAGGAUGGACUGCUUUAAUCAUGUUUUGCCAAGCUUGAUUGCCGAACCAGAACCAUUAGGUUUAAGUUUCCUGGCGAGCCAGUCAUUGAGUGGAAGGGGGAUGGUGUUACCUUAAUGCCGUGAAGAUGAUCAGCAAGGGGUGCAUCUACCAUUUGGUCCGAGUCACGGACACUGAUGUUGAGGCACCGACACUUGAGUCCAUGCCGGUUGUGAAUGAAUUUUUAGAGGUCUUUCGUAAUGAGCUUCCUGGAAUCCCACCCGAUAGGGAGAUUGACUUUAGGAUCAAUGUAUUGCCGGGCACGCAACCAAUAUCAUUUCCACCCUAUAAAAUGGCUCCUGCAAAAUUGAAGGAACUAAAGGAGUAGUUGAAGGCCUGCUAGAGAAGGGUUUCAUUUGACCGAGUGUGUCAUCCUGGGGUGCACUGGUUCUCUUUGCAAGGAAGAAGGAUGGGUCAUUGAGGAUGCGUAUCAACUAUCAACAGCUCAACAAGGUCACAAUAGUGAAUAAGUACCUGCUGCCCAGGAUAGAUGACUUGCUUGAUCAGUUGCAAGGGGCUAAGUACUUCUCCAAGAUUUAUUUAAGAUCGGGGUAUCACCAGUUGAAGAUUAGGGAGCAGGAUAUUUCGAAAACAACUUUCAGGACUCGGUAUGGGCACUUUGAAUUUCUGGUUAUGUCUUUUGGGCUAGCGAAUGCUCCUGCAGCUUUCAUGGAUCUUAUGAAUCGAGUCUUCAAGCCUUUUAUCGACUCUUUUGUGAUAGUGUUAAUGGACAACAUUCUUGUGAAUUGACAAAGUUGAGAGGAGCAUGUCAAUCAUCUCAAGGCGAUUUUUCAAACUCUGUAUCAGCACAAGUUGUAUGCGAAGUUUUUGAAAUGUGAGUUUUGGCUCGAGUCUGUCACUUUCUUGGGACAUGUUGUUGUUAUUGAGGGAGUCAAGGUUAUCCUCAGAAGAUUGAAGCUGUGAAGGAUUGGCCUCGACCCACAACUUCGAAAGAGAUUUGUAGUUUCUUUGGCUUAGUGGGGUAUUACAGAAGGUUUGUGGAGGGAUUUCCUUCUUUUGCCUCUCCAUUGACUAAGUUAACAUAAAAGGUAGCCAAAUUUCAAUGGUCAGAUGCUUGUGAAAGGUGAUUUCAAGAGUUGAAGUCAAGGCUGACCACGACACUGGUGUUGACCGUACCGAAAGGUACAUAUAGGUUUAUUGUAUAUUGUGAUGCUUCAAGGGUUGGACUUGGGUGUGUGUUAAUGCAACAUGGCAAGGUGAUCUCUUAUGCUUCUAGGCAACUCAAGAACAACGAGAAGAAUUAUCCAACACAUGACUUAGAGCUUGCGACGAUGGAGUUCGCAUUGUAGAUUUGGCGUCAUUAUUUGUAUGGGGUCCAUGUAGCAAUAUUCACGGACCAUAAGAGUCUUCAAUAUAUCUUCAAGCAGAAGGAGUUGAAUCUAAGGCAAAGGAGAUUGCUUGAGUUACUCAAGGACUACGAUAUCCACAUUCUCUAUUAUCCGGGGAAAGCUAAUAUUGUGGAGGAUGCUCUUAGCCGGAAAUCUAUGGGUAGUCUGGCGCAUUUGGAGGCACACCAAUGGCCGAUGGCUAAGGAAGUUCACCGGUUGGCUAGUUUGGGAGUCCGGCUUGCGAACUCUAGUGAACGUGGGGUAAUUAUGCAACAUUGAGCCGACUCAUCGCUAGUGGUUGAAGUUAAGGAGAAACAAUAUGAUGAUCCAUUUCUGGUGCAAUUGAAGAAGGAAAUUCAUAAACACAAAAUCACGGCUUUUUCUCUUUGAAUGAAUGAUGGUACACCAAGGUACCAUGUGCGAUUGUGUUCCGAAUGUAGAUAGUCUUCGAGAGAGAAUCAUGACCGAGGCUCAUAGUUCCAAAUAUUUCGUACACCCAGGCUCUACGAAGAUGUACCAUGAUCUUAAGAAAAUCUAUAGCUGGAAUGACAUGAAGAGGGAUAUAGCGAACUUUGUGGCUAGAUGCCCGAAUUUCCAAUAAGUGAAGGCCGAGCACGAAAGGCCCGAUGUCUUGGCACAUAAUACAGAGAUUCCACUGUGGAAGUGGGAGAUGAUCAAUAUGGACUUUUUGGUAUGUCUACUUCGCACGCCUCGCAAGUUUGACUUGAGUUAGGUGAUUGUGGAUCGAUUCACGAAAUCAACACACUUCUUGCCUAAUAAGGCUAACGACACAACAAAAUAUUAUGCUCAGUUGUGUAUCAAGAAAAUAGUCGGAUUGCAUGGCACUCCAGUUUCCAUCAUCUCAGAUCGAGGAGAGAGCAGUUCACAACUAACUUUUGGCAGAAAUUUCAGCAAGGUUUGGGUACACAAUUGAAUCUUAGUACAACUUACUAUCCACAGACCGAUGGGUAGGCAGAGCGGACUAUACAAAUGCUUGAGGAUAUGUUGCGUGCUUGUGUUUUGAACUUCAAGGGUAGCUGGGAUGAUCAUUUGCUCAUAGAAUUUACCUUUAACAACAGCUAGUAUGCCAACAUUCAGAUGGCGCCAUUCGAAGCUCUAUAUGGUAGGAGACAUAGAUCUCCCAUUGGUUUGUUUGAGGUUGGUGAAGCAGAACUGAUAGGGCCAAACCUCGUGCAUCAGGCUAUGGAGAAGGUCAACAUUAUUAAGGAGUUGUUGAAAAAAUCGCUCAGAGUCGCCAGAAGUCCUAUUUGGAUGUGCGUCGUAGAAAUUUGGAGUUUAGAGAGGAUGAUUGGGUAUUUUUGAAAGUUUUUUCCAUGAAGGGCAUAAUGCAAUUUGGGAAGAAAGGAAAAUUGAGUCCAAGAUAUAUCAGACCAUACAAAAUCUUGCAGAGGGUUGGUCAAGUGGCUUGUACGCUCUCCAGAGAUGUCCUAAGUGCACCCGGUGUUUCAUGUGUCUAUGUUGAAGAAGGUGGUUGGAGAUCCAUCGCUCAUCUUCCCAGUGAAGGCUAUUGAAGUUAACGAAGAAUUGACUUAUGAGGAGAUUCCGGUUGCCAUUCUUUCUAGACAAGUUCAAAAGUUGAGGAAUAAAGAGAUUUUCAUUGUCAAUUAUUUUACAACCCGUUCAUUGCAGUAUUUUAGUGACCAGUCCCAGACAAUCUUUUUAAGCCUUUGAGGUCGUACUUUGUACUUUAGCAUAUUCAUUUCAGGAAUCAUUUUACCUUCGUCGGAAGCCUUUUGAGCCAUAUUUUGCAUCGUUAUUUAAGCUAUCAGGGCUCGUCCCUCUUAUGAAAGAAGAACUUAAGUUUGCCCCAAAUCUGAAAUGGGUUAAACAACUUGGAUUAAUCUAUUGCUACUACUUAAUAUGUUGACCUACCUUUGGCAUAAAGAGGCCCCCUUUUAUAUAAUAUGACACAUUUUAUUUGUCCGAUAUGAUACUUGGUUUGAGCUAAAUGACUCUAUGUAAUAACAUAAUAAUCAUGUUAUCUCCAACUAACUUCUCUCAUCUAUUUCUCCUUUCGCUCGUUUUUUUAUAUCUUUAUCCCCAAAACAAAGGUUAAUUUGUGUUGAUUGUCAAACUGGCGGGGCUACCUUACACCCUAAGAUCCAAAGGAAAAAUGGUUAACACAGAGGCAACGAACCCGUCAAGAGGUGCUUUGGUUGUCACAGACUUUCCUAGGGCUUCAGAAGGAGGGGAUAAUACACAGAAUGAUGAGUACAUUACUCGCCUAGAGCAAGAAAUAGAAAUGUUAAGAAGAGAAGUGCAACAUGUCAAGGACAUAACGAAUUUGGCCGUAACAACCUUGCAAAACCCACCCCGUUUUCCAUCCUUCGAUGCACCCAUUUUUGAUCAUAUUCCAUUAUUCACACAACCACAUGCAAGUACACUGGUCACCACUACUAGCACAACACCCCUUACUGCUCCUUGUAUCAUACUGCCAGUUACUCCAGCUAAUCCACCCCACCCAUCCAUAACACCAUACAUCCCAGACUAUGCCCCCACCACUCAAAUUCCCUAAACUACAACUAAUCAUGUUUACACCCCCUCUCAGAGUGCUACCACAUUUACCAACCUAAAUGUGAAGCACAUACUAGCGGCAUAUGUCACCACACAUGAGAGAUAUGCUCCACCAGUAUAUGCAAUCGGGGAACCAACUUUCACAACACUCAUCACGGCCAGAGUCCCAUUUGAUAUAGACUAGUAUGCCGAGUUGGAAAAUGAUUGUCACACCUCCUUUUUUUCGGGGAAAGGAGUUUUUCAAAUUAAAGUGAUAUUAUUGAAAUGGGAUUAAUUUAUUUUAUUUUUUAAGAGUCGCCACUUAGAAUAAUUAUUUACGGUGUCCCAAGUCGCAAAUUUAUUUUUAAAUCCCAAAUCAAGAAAAUUGACUCUGUUUAAGUCUGCGAAACACAGAAGACCGAGUAAGGAAUUCUGUUAACCCAGGAGAAGGUGUGAGGCACUCCUGAGUUCCGUGGUUCUAGCACGGUCAUUUUAAUAAUUAUACCUGGCUUAACUAAUUCUGGAUAUUUUAUGUUCUAGGGAAAUUUGUGCACUUUUUCCUUAAAUCGUUUUUAAUUGCUUGAUUAUUUGUAAUGAUGGAAUUAUCUUGAAACGAAUCACGCGUAUGUGUAUUCGUUUUGUUUGGCGUGUCAAGAAUCAUGUCACGCGUACGUAUACACAAUUAAUAAUACUUUAUUAUUUUUAAGUUGCAUGAACGCAUACUUUGGUUGUAUUUGAGAUUCGUAAUUAUAUCACGCGAACGUAUACAUAAUCACGAUGAUUUGAUUAAUUAAGAGCGUGCCUAAAAGCAUACUAACGUAUUCAUGAUUGGUAUUUGGUUAGGAGUGAUAGAGUUUUAUUUAUUACAUACAAUUGGGCCAGCAUAUGGAUAUUUAUUCAAUGGAAUGGGCUUGACAACAUUUCAGCAUAUUGUCCCAAUUUAUUAAUUCACUAAUAACCCCAAAAUUCUCUAUAGCUCCCUCUCCCUCUCCCUCUCUAUUGUCAACUAUCAAAAGUGACUUAUUCUAUAUUGGAUCUAGACACAUGGAAAGUUUUUAAAAAUUGAAAUUAUAUUGAACAAAGGCAACAAAUAAUGAAAAGAAAAUUAAUCUGGCUAACAUACUUUCAACCAAAACAAACAAAAAUAAAAAAAAUGCAACAACAUUACUACCUAUUUAGAAGCCACAAACGAGAGGAGCUUAGGGUCAACAUCUCUGCUUUGCUUAAAGGCUUUCCAAUAUGCUUACAGAUAAGUGGCACUUAUGACAUUUCAGGGUUACUAUGUUUUAAUUUUGAUGUAGACAUGUGGAAAAUUUUGAUGGACAAGUGGGACUAGAUUUCACACAGCUCUCGGCUCUUCUAUAUUUUGCUUGACUAACCAAUAUGUCUUUUUUUUCUUCAGUAAAUUAUAGUAAUUUAAAUUAAUGUUAAACCUUAAGUUAAAGUGUUAUAAAAAUAAUAGCUCCUCUAAAAAAAAAUAUUGCAAAGGUGAAGAAUUUUUUUUUAAAUCCUAAGUUUUAACUAUUAUUCUUAAAGUGAAGAUUGUCACUUUUGUCUAUGGUUACUACUAAAAUAAAUGCUUGUUUAAUAAAAUCAGAAAGCAUAUGAACUAUAAACUUUACAAAGAAGUUUGGCAUGAUAAUUUAUAUUUGCGCAUAUAAUGGAUGCACUAAAUAUUUUUGCAAAACUACUGCUAAAGGUUUACAUCUUCAACUUGAAGAGCAAAGUUGACCUUUGCUUUUAUCUUUGUUCAAGUUCCCAAUAAUUUUUAAUUUGGAAAAAUUUUUCCUGCACUACAAAUGCUGAACCUAUUUUGUCAUGACUUCGUGAAGUGUGGGAGAACAAUUUUCUAAUGUUUUUUCCUUUCCUUUCUGUGGAAUAUGAAAAAAUUUGGUAAAUUCCAAAAAAAAAAAAAUGUUGGAUUGGUUUUUAAGUUUCGAUAUUGGAAAAAUAUGAAAUUACUAUUAUAACUUAGAAUUGAUUUUUGUUACAUCGUGUAAAUAGACUAUGUUAACUUAUAAAUAAGUAGAAAUCAAAUUAAAAAUUAAAAUUAACAAACAACAAGCUAACAUUUGGAAAGAUAAAUUAAGCUGGGUAAAGAGUGGACAACGGGCUAACCAUCACUAAGUAUAUAAAUAAGAAAAAACGUAAGAGUAGAACAAUGAAGUACCUUUUAUAACUUUUCAAAUUAUCAAAGAUCUUUCAACUGGCUUACAAGAAGAACACAGCGAUGAAGUUGAAAUGAAUAGACCCGUCACACGGAGACCACGAACGGAGCAUCGCAAACUCGCCGGCGACCUCGAUUGAAAGCUUUACUGUUUCGACUGGGUUUGGAUGGCAGUUGGACGCUGAAAUUUCAGGUAUUUGGCUGGUUGUCUGGAACUGAUUUUCACGUCGAUUUGAGGUGAUUUUGGGGUUGUUUUGAGGCUGUUUUAUGGCUGUUUUGAGGAUGUAUUUCAACUGGUUUUCUGGUAGCGUUUUUUGGGGUGAGUUUAGGGACUUUUUCGAGCUGCUUUUUGGGGAUUUCGUGACUGGAUUUUUACUGGAAUUUCGCUGUAUUUUCGAUCAGUUUUGGUGUUGUUUAUGAGUUGUGAAGGUGGCCAGCUUUCAUGGCUGUUUUAAGAACGUUUUGGUGGGGGGUUUUUGUAGCUAAAAGGCGGCUGGAUUUUGACUUGUGUUUGGCGUCAAAGAGGUGGCUAUAGAUGAUGCUUUACUUGGUGGCAGUUUGAGGGUUGUCUUCAGCUGAGGGUAGUUUCAAG
rnacentral:lncRNA from 1 species